rnacentral:RNase_P_RNA from 1 species
CAAGCAGACUGCCUUAUCGCUGCACAUAUUGUGGAGAGGAAAGUCCGAGCAUCGCAGAGCAACAUAGUGGGUAACGCCCACCAUUUCGGAAUAUUCCGAAAUAGGACCAGUGCAACAGAAAGAAUGUACAGAUAAUGCUGUAGUGAAAUCAGGUAAACUCUAUGUGAUGAAAUACCAAGUAAACCAAAUGCCAAGGAGUGGCUCGUUCCGAUGUUGGAGGGUAGGUAGAUGGAGCUUGACAGUAAUGUCAAGCCUAGAUAAAUGAUAAGGACUUUGUAUAAAGUACAGAACUCGGCUUAUAGGUCUGCUUUUUAU